rnacentral:rRNA from 1 species
UGGGGAAUAUUGCACAAUGGAGGGAACUCUGAUGCAGCGACGCCGCGUGAACGAAGAAGGCUUUCGAGUCGUAAAGUUCUUUUAUAUGGGAAGAUAAUGACGGUACCAUAAGAAAACGCCCCGGCUAACUACGUGCCAGCAGCCGCGGUAAUACGUAGGGGGCUAGCGUUGUCCGGAAUCACUGGGCGUAAAGGGUUCGCAGGCGGAAAUGCAAGUCAGGUGUAAAAGGCAGUAGCUUAACUACUGUAAGCAUUUGAAACUGCAUAUCUUGAGAAGAGUAGAGGUAAGUGGAAUUUUUAGUGUAGCGGUGAAAUGCGUAGAUAUUAAAAAGAAUACCGGUGGCGAAGGCGACUUACUGGGCUCAUUCUGACGCUGAGGAACGAAAGCGUGGGUAGCAAACAGG